AAUCCUUUAUUUUGUCCCCCAUCAGGGACAUUUAUAUUUCCAUAUAUAUAUUAUAUGAUGCAAUAUUAUAUAUUGUGCUCUCUGGUAUUUUCAAUAUUGCAUUUAAAGAAGCAAACUCAAAGUGACACAGCCUUCUGUUGUGUGCCGUGCUCGAGGGUCACAGAUGUCAUUACUCACUGAUCAGGAACCACACGGUCCUUUGGACCCAGUGAAGGGUUCCUGAAGUAGGUUCUAGCAGGACAUCCCCUUUUCCAGAGAACCGGUAACGUGGACGACUUUGUAUCCCAGAUUAACUUAAUAAUGAUAGAUAACAAGAGACAUUUAAGAAUAUUAUGCUUCGCUGUCUACACAUAAUGUGUACUUCUACUUCAGAAAACAUGCAGGAUUUAUUUUAUUUGGAGUUCUCAUAUUUUUAUUUGUUCUAUUCAUUUAAUUGUUUACUCAUGUUAUUCAUAUUAUUCAUCUAAUUUAAAUAUAUUUUAUAUGUAUUUGUAGAUAUUUAUGUAUUAUUUCAUUUAGAUUGGUACUGCUCUUAUUGGUAUUAUAUCGAUUUUAUUAAUUAAAAUGAAUUAAAUGUAUUCAUUUACCCAUUCAUUUACUCACUUUAGGUAAUGUGUGCAUUCUCAGAUGUGCCAGUAAAGACAUAGAUUAGUUAUGAAGUCUAAUGUAAUGAAUUAAAAGGAUUCAUUUUAUUAAAAUGAAAGAUGUAUUUGUCUGUAACUGGGUGAUGCACACAGAUCAGUAUCUAUAACAGCUUUGGACUCUUUAAAAGCUGUGGGAAUUUAUUUAAAUGAGUAAAAAACCUUGGACAGUGAAAUAAAAAUGAACAGGAAACCGAGCUGUCCUUUCUUAUUAUAAAGUAACUACACCAGUGCCCUUAAACCGAAGCCUUUCCUCCCCUCGUGUCUCCGCUGCAUUCACUUGAGUCUCUGCAGGUGUGCAGCUUUCAAACGUGUGUGUGGAAUCAGAACGGAACAAAAGCUCCUUUAAACGCAGCAAACAAAACCGCACAAAUAGUCAUUUAUUUACAGAUCAGAGGAUCAAACGCAGGCUUCGUAUUUACUUCCACAACACUGAAUUUAAAUGUCAGAAUCUACACCAAAUACAAUCAAAUUAAAGAAAAUGGUUUGUUAAAUGGAUACCAGCAUCGUUGACUUAAAUCAAUGCAGCCGUCCACGACCCGGAGACCUGCAGCGGCGGGUCUCUUCUCUGGUGGCGUUCAAACGCUCCGCGGUGGACUCCGUUUCCCAGCAUCCCUCUGGGUGAUUAACCUGCUCGGGCUGCGAGGACCCCCACUGAUCGGCCCUAAUGUGCUGAUCAAUAUUCUCAGUCGGUGCUCCGCAGCUCACACGUCUUAACAAAGUCAUGAAGUUAGUUGACGGAAUGGAAAGUCUCAGUCAUCUUGUUGUUUACACUAAUUUCUCUUUUUCAUGUUAAUUAUGGAAUUGAUUGUUGUGUCGUGUUUAUUGUAUUGCAUUAAUAUGGCCAUUUAUACACACAGGCCUCUAUGAAGAAUUAGCACAGUUAGAUAAUGAAAUCACAUUAUAAUUUGCACUUUAACCAUGAAUUUGACUGGAUCAAAUCUCUCUGAACUCCUUUCCCCCCACCAACCUCAUCGGCCCUCAGAUCCACCUCCUACUUUUCACCCCCACAUCCAAACUCCGGGCUCUGGGGACAGAGCGUUCUCCAGGGCAGCUCCCAAGCUCUGGAACUCACUCGCCAUUCUCAUCAGAGACUCCAUCACCACAUUCCAGUCCCGCCUCAGAACACAUCUGUUCUCAUCUGCUUACCCGUAGCCCCCUCCCUCCCUCCCCUACCCUUCAGUCGAUGUAGAUUAUGCCAUCGGCCCGUAUAUGUCGCCCCUCGUGUCUCGUCUCCUGUCUGUCUGUCUCACACCGCCCCCCCUUCGACUAUGUUAAAGCGUCUUUGAGACAUUUAGAAAAGCGCUAUAUAAAACCAAUUAAUAUUAUUGGCUGCACAUGUAUAUAUUGAUAUGAGGCGGAAUGAUCCACGGUCAGGUUUCAAUCAGCUCCUCCUGGCCUUCGUCCACACUAAGCUUUACAUUUUUUCACCAGAGAACUAAAAGCUCGUCAGUCUCAAGAGAGGAUAAAUCUGAGCUUUGUGUUUGAUUGUGUUUGAGGCCAAAAACGGAGGUAAAAAGAGGACACGCGUGUCCGCAGGAGACUUGGAUGAUUCACUUCCUGUCGCUUCUAAAGCGUCUGUGUUGACCCUGGUGAUGAAAAGUCCCCAUGGAACGCAAGGACCUUCAUGACGGAGACAAUGUGAAACCAGGAAACAACAUCUGGUUCUUUAAAGCAAAGUCACGGUUUAAUGUCGUCAAGCUGCAUCCUGUGUAGUGACCAGCAGGGGGCGACUCCUCUGGUCCCAUAGACGUCUAUGAGGAAAUGACUCUACUUCUCUGUAGUGACCAGCAGGGGGCGACUCCUCUGCUCCCAUAGACGUCUAUGAGGAAAUGACUCUACUUCUCUGUAGUGACCAGCAGGGGGCGACUCGUCUGCUCCCAUAGACGUCUAUGAGGAAAUGACUCUACUUCUCUGUAGUGACCAGCAGGGGGCGACUCCUCUGCUCCCAUAGACGUCUAUGAGGAAAUGACUCCACUUCUCACUUGAUUCAUUCCCUCACUGUUCAUGGCCUCAGUCUCUAGUUUAAGUCUGUUUCAAUGCAGCAGCAUGAGCAGUUUUUAUUGUCAAUAGUUGAUUGACUGUACUGGAAUUAAUAAAAUUCUUGCGGCCAUUAGCUCCUCCUCUUUGUCCACAGGUUAAGUCUAACCACACCCCCGUGUUGAACAAAUGGAAGAAACUAAAGAACAACAUCAACAGAGAUCAAUAAUAGGAACGAUAGAAUAUCCAGUUGGCUUCUCUCAGAACUUUAGAAUGACUGAAGAGUCUCAAUCUUUCUUCAUGAGCUAUUACAAUUACAACAACAACCACAAGAGGACAUUUUCAUCACAAUGCCUUAAAUAAUAAAGAAACAGCUCUUCACGGGUACACGAGACACAAGAGCAGAAACACAAAGGGGGAAAGGUAAAUGCCUUCAUCUCUCGCUUGUAAAAUCCAAUUAGGGAACUAAUUUUGACCUGAAAUGUGCAGGACACCUUCUUCUUCUGUGGUUCCUCUAACGGGCGCUAAGGGAGGCGUCAGAACCUGCGAGCAGGAACCUGACCAGCAGGAUGCCGGUCUAAUUAUCCCGCCGUGAAAAACAAAAAGAGUUAUUUUAAUCCUCCGCGGGAUUAAUCUGAUUAAUCUUCAUCAUGAAACAAAGAGAAACGCUCUUUCUGCUUCGUUGACUUGAAAAGAAAAGAAAAAGGUAAAAGAAGUUCUGCAGAGAAACGUCCAGAGUUUCCACCAAGUUAAGGUGAAUUAAUCCAAGUGGUCCAAAGCGAAGGAGACGUGGAGGCGAAGGACAAAUAGAAGCAGGUUGAUAUGAAUUAUUAAUGACAGGGAACGAUGAAAGCAUUUCGAUAUCUGAGACAAGAGGCUAAAUAGCAAUAAUAAAGAGGCCUGAAUGAGGAAUUUGAUUUGUAAUUUUAGCAAACAAUGAUUCAUUUGAAGUAAACUAUUACCAAAGACUUAUCCCUGCGGGCCGGCGGGGGGAGCAAAAAGGACCCGUGUGACCCAAAAGGAAGUAUGUGGACGGCCUCCUGGUCUCAUCCCGGCAUCCCGGGUAACGUGAGGCUCUCAGGUGUGUUCUGGUUUCACACGCCAGCCUCCUGGGUGAAAUAUCUCUAUAUGCAGAUGUUUGAAAGUACCCUUAACAUUGGUAUUCUGGCUUUUGAAGGCUUUGUUAUACCAACUAUUUGAGACGGAGGAGUAAAAUUGUUUUUGUGUGACCAAGUGAUAAUUUUAUGCCAUUUUAUUCUGUAUUCAAAGCUUCACAAAAGGCUUCACAUGAAGGCGACUGUACUUGCUUGUCGAUGCACUCAUUGGGUUUUCUGUGAGAUUCUGCAGGAAGGCGGGUCGUCAAAGGGAGAAAGCAUUUCCCUUUGACGGAGCUAAGCUGGCAGUUCACCCCGCUUCCAGUCCUUAUGCUAAGCUAGGCUAAACCACCCUGGACUUUGCGCUGGUCUCACCUGAGUCUAACAGGGGAUUCGCUGUGUUAAUCCCUGGUCCAGAUGUCAAAGGUAACCAGGGAGGACGACAGGUAGCUCCGCCCUACAGUCCCUCCUCCUCUUUAGCGGCGAGGAGGAGGGACUCCACAUUCAGUCAGCUCCUCUCGGUAAUCUGUAAUCUGCACCAAGCUAACGAGCAAAAUCAUUAGACACCGACGGUAAACAUUUAUGGACAAGAUCAGAUGAACCGUUGUCCCUGGGGGCGCCUGGAAGCAGAAGAGACACUCGUGCGUGGACACAUUGGGAACGCAGAGCAGCCUACGAGAGACGGACAUGAAUCACACGAGGGGAAAAAAGAACCAAAGCUGUGACAAUUAAUGUUUGCAGCAUGAAAGAGCAUCAAAUCGCUCACACAAACACACAGUCGGUGUACAAAUUAGAUUAACCUCCACAGCCUUCUGUGUGAGCGUGAAUAAUGAAUCUCUGCAGGAAGCGGAUGAUAUUGGAGGCUGGGGGGUUACCUGUGGUGGGCGGAGUCAGCGGGCCGGUCAGUCACUUUCAUGUGAGUUCCAUUACGUUUCCUCCGUGAGGCAGUAAACUGUGAGCAGCAGCACCUCCGCUGAAGUGAUUGCGAUGGGCAGCGGUGGGGAGUUGAUUCAACUUGAUAUCAUGUGUUCAUCCUUUAUGUAUGAAGAGCCAGGAAUGGAAGAUGUUACAGCAGAGCAUUAACGGAGGUUGAUGGUGGAGAUACACGGCACAUUGAAGGGUUCAUCCUCCUGUGGAUGUGUACGACCCCUCUAGAGAAGGGCUCUUCAACGUUUUUCAGGCCACGGUCCCCCAAACCGAUGGUGAGAUGGAGCAGAAACCCCCUCUGCUACGGAGUUUGGUCCGCCAUCUUUUAUUUUGGAGCUUGGCGCUCAGGCGACGUGAGCAUGAACGCGAUCUGAUUGGCUGGUUCCUGUGAUGUCGUAUGAGCACGAUGAGUGAACCACAACGUCUCCUCCAUCACUUCAUCAGUUCGCUACAACAUGUUGGAUUCAUGUUAAUGUGUAUUUAAACACAAUAAGACAUUUCAAUUUGUGGAAAAAAAUUGCUUGAAAAAAAAUGUCGCGACCCCCCUGCAGACCCCCUUGGGGUCACGGACCCCCUGUUGAAGACCUCUGCUCUAGAGGAAAAUCUGUUGUCUCCUGUUGUCAUACAGGAGGGAUCGGAGGCUUCUCUGGAUCAUUUAUACCACAUACCAUCAAUCACAAGGCCGGUGUUUCAGAACCAUCCUCGUGGGACCACGAAUAACGUCAUGCUCACAGUUUGAUGUGGGGAUCGUUCUUUGCGAUGAUCUGAUAUUUUCUCUCCGGUGGCCAUAAGCGCAUCACUCCCCUGCAGCAGCUUCAGAAACAGGAAGUGAGGACUCUUGAACGUCUCCGGGGGGACGACGUCUCACCUUCAGGCCGCCACAUUAGGCGCCUCCCUCCCCCAGCACAAGCCGGCGCUAAUGGUUCCUGGGUGACAUUUAGAUAAAGGUGAGGGGGAAAAGGUUGGGUCAACCCGCUGUUGACCUUUGACCCCGUUGUUACGGAAGUCAAACCGCAGCCAGUGAGUCUGACAUUUCCUCCGCGCAGCACUUCAUCCGGCUAAUUAACCCGUUAGCCGGAUGACCUGCCGCACAAAGGGCGGGGAAAGAAAAGGACGACGCGGAGAGAAAGGAUCGCACAAACUGGAGAUGGAUUGUUUUAUUAACGUAUUCCAUUGCUUGUAUACAGGAUGAGAAUCUGAAAAUGAGGAAUGAAGAGGAACAUCGUGUCGUAUUCAGUCCCAUAGAACAUCACUUUCUAUCACAUCGCCGGUGGGCGGGGCUUCGGUAACAGACGUGGGACUCUGAUGUCCCUUAUUUCCCGUGAGUGCUGUCCAGCUGCGCUGUGUAACACUCUGUUAUCAAUACAAGUGAUCGGAUCAAUAGCCGCAGGGCGACAGCUGAUAGACGACGCAGAGAUCAAUACAGUUAACCAGCUCUGUCUGUCGGUUGAGCAAAUUAUGGUCCAUUUAUAGUCAAACUCCGUAUAGCAGGGGAUGCUUGAGGGCGGGGCUACACGCUGAUUGACAGAUACAGAGUCUCUACUUCCUGAGUCCAUCUAUGGUCGCUUUCUGUUCCCUGACUGCUGGAGAAACAAGAUGGCGUUGGUCUAAUCGCAGAACUCAACUUAAACCUAAAUCAAUUCCACGACUGUGUCUUUCAAUGUGAAGGAGGUUUUUAAGAGUGAAGCCGAACAGGACGGAGAUCAAUCGAUGUUUCCAAAAUAAAACCACUUUUGUGUAAAAUUGUCUCUCUCCUGACAGUCUGUUUCCAUGGUACCGACUGCAAAAACACUGCUAAUCAAUCUGCCGGCUCCGCCCUGCACAACACGGACACACUAUACCGCUACCACACUCUCCCUUCAGCCCGUAGGGCCUUUUACUGUAUGUGUGUGUGUGUCAUCAUCCUUUCUCAUCAAAGCCACACACACACGCAUUAAUGUGCCUACAGCUACACAACCGUUGUCUCAAAUGAAACGACACACACACGCACAUGCAGCUAUUUAGCGUCCACUGGUAUUGUGUUUGCAUGUUGUGGUUGCCGUGGUAAGCACGGCCACUCAUCUGAGGGCUGAUCACCAAUAAGUGUCAUUAUCUACCUCCCUUUGUACCCAGUCAUCCAUCGUCUUAAAUCUAUACGCCAGUACAUAGUAUCUCUAUGCAGUAGUUUCAAAGCUGGUGUCGGCAUAUAAACAGGAUUGAUGUCCACAAAUAGUAAAAAUGCUUAAUGUCCAUAUAUCGUAUGUAAAGUGAAUAAAGUUGUGUUUAAGGCUAUUUAUUGCCCCAUUUUACCCACAUUGUUUUGUUUACAACAUUGGCAUAUUUAACACUGGUGUGCUUCAUCAUGACCUGGGACAGAAAUCUGAAUCUGUGUUCCUCCUCAGCAUGAAUAGAUCCCCGUGCUCAUGCUCAGUUUCAUUUUACAUUAUUGAUGAAUAGAAACCGACCAAUUCCACCCAUCAAUAAGUGAGAGGUCUCUGGAGACCCUUCGUAUCCACACUGGGUCUUUGACAGCUCCUUGAUCCCACUUGAACUGAGCCGCUGCGUUUCUCCACCGGUACAAAGGAGCCAUAUCUUCUCCGUUGCCUUCAGAGCUGAGAUGUCAGACCUUAUUCCACCAACUUUGUAAAGGUAAUUCAAUUACUUCUGCACUGUGCUCGCUGCAGAUCAACGAUGAGGCUUUUCUCAUCAUUCAGUGACGGCGUCAUGUGGUCGCUGUUGUUCCUCCUGGUGGGAAAUCAUUUAGCUGAUGAAGUGCGUGGACGUCACACGGGGAGGCUUUUAUUUUAGGAUUUUAAAUAAAUUAAGAGUGUUAAAAGUUAUUGAAAAAUUAGACUUCACUUAACUUUGCAAGCCAAGUACUCUGUAUACUACCUGCUCAGGUACUCUGUAUACUAUCUGCUCAGGUACUCUGUAUACUAUCUGCUCAGGUACUCUGUAUACUACCUGCUCAGGUACUCUGUAUACUACCUGCUCAGGUACUCUGUAUACUAUCUGCUCAGGUACUCUGUAUACUACCUGCUCAGGUACUCUGUAUACUAUCUGCUCAGGUACUCUG
ensembl:lncRNA